rnacentral:piRNA from 1 species
UCAGAACCUUGUCUUCUACCACGAGCCAG